AACGGCCGCGGUAUUUUGACCGUGCAAAGGUAGCGCAAUCACUUGUCUUUUAAAUAGAGACCUGUAUGAAUGGCAUAACGAGGGCUUAACUGUCUCCUUUAUCCUAUCAAUGAAAUUGAUCUCCUCGUGCAGAAGCGAGGAUAAAAACAUAAGACGAGAAGACCCUAUGGAUCUUUAAUCGCAAGAACAGAACAUGUCCAUUCUACAUUUUAACAAAAGAAAAUAAUUGAAACCUGUUCUAAUGAUUUUGGUUGGGGCGACCGCGGAGUAAAAAAGAACCUCCAUGAGGAAUGAAGAAUUUUCUUCCUAUUUAAGGGUGGCAACCCUAUAAAUCAGAAUUUCUGACCACACGAUCCGGCAAAGCCGAUCAACGAACCGAGUUACCCUAGGGAUAACAGCGCAAUCCUCUUUUAGAGCCCAUAUCGACAAGGGGGUUUACGACCUCGAUGUUGGAUCAGGACAUCCUAAU
rnacentral:rRNA from 1 species